UUACAAUAAUGAAAAAUAUAUCCCCCCUGUGCAAACCUUGGGAGAAACAGAAACACACACAAGACUUCAUGCAUCGCAUGCAAUUUUCGGGAUACAAUCAGAAAGAUAGAAUCCAAGUGUACAGGGGAGAUAACAUGAAAUUU